UGAGGAAUAUUGGUCAAUGGACGAGAGUCUGAACCAGCCAAGUAGCGUGAAGGAUGACUGCCCUAUGGGUUGUAAACUUCUUUUAUACGGGAAUAAAGUUAGGCACGUGUGCCUUUUUGUAUGUACCGUAUGAAUAAGGAUCGGCUAACUCCGUGCCAGCAGCCGCGGUAAUACGGAGGAUCCGAGCGUUAUCCGGAUUUAUUGGGUUUAAAGGGAGCGUAGGCGGAUGCUUAAGUCAGUUGUGAAAGUUUGCGGCUCAACCGUAAAAUUGCAGUUGAUACUGGGUGUCUUGAGUACAGUAGAGGCAGGCGGAAUUCGUGGUGUAGCGGUGAAAUGCUUAGAUAUCACGAAGAACUCCGAUUGCGAAGGCAGCUUACUGGAUUGUAACUGACGCUGAUGC
rnacentral:rRNA from 1 species